rnacentral:tRNA from 1 species
GUCAAGUUAGUUUAACAAAAAUAUCAGCCUGUGGAUUUGAAGAUGAAGCCAUGCUUUGCUUGACC